UACGUAUGGACCGAGCGUUGUCCGGAAUCAUUGGGCGUAAAGGGUACGUAGGCGGUCUAGUAAGUUAGAAGUGAAAGGCUAUAGCUCAACUAUAGUAAGCUUUUAAAACUGUUUAACUUGAGAGAUGGAAGGGAAAGUGGAAUUCCUAGUGUAGCGGUGAAAUGCGCAGAUAUUAGGAGGAAUACCGGUGGCGAAGGCGACUUUCUGGCCAUUAUCUGACGCUGAUGCACGAAGGUGUGGGUAUCAAACAGG
rnacentral:rRNA from 1 species